CGAAAGUUUGCACAAUACUUAAAUCCGCUGACCACUCUUUUGUUACCGUGACGUUUCCUUUCGAGUCCAA
rnacentral:rRNA from 1 species